rnacentral:rRNA from 1 species
UAGGGAAUCUUCGGCAAUGGACGAAAGUCUGACCGAGCAACGCCGGGUGAGUGAAGAAGGUUUUCGGAUCGUAAAACUCUGUUGGUAGAGAAGAACGUUGGUGAGAGUGGAAAGCUCAUCAAGUGACGGUAACUACCCAGAAAGGGACGGCUAACUACGUGCCAG